ACGGCCGCAUCACGUUGAAAUACCGGUUCCCGUACGAUCACCGAAGUAAAGCAACGUCGAUCCUGUUCAAUACCUAGAUUGGUGACCGCUUGGUAAUACCAGAUGCUGUU